UACGGGGGGGGCAAGCGUUGUUCGGAAUUACUGGGCGUAAAGGGCUCGUAGGCGGCCAACUAAGUCGGAUGUGAAAUCCCCAGGCUCAACCUGGGAACUGCAUCCGAUACUGGAUGGCUUGAAUUCGGGAGAGGGAUGCAGAAUUCCAGGUGUAGCGGUGAAAUGCGUAGAUAUCUGGAGGAAUACCGGUGGCGGAGGCGGCAUCCUGGACCGACAUUGACGCUGAGGAGCGAAAGCUAGGGGAGCAAACGGG
rnacentral:rRNA from 1 species